rnacentral:rRNA from 1 species
UGGGGAAUAUUGCACAAUGGGCGCAAGCCUGAUGCAGCGACGCCGCGUGAGGGAUGACGGCCUUCGGGUUGUAAACCUCUUUCAGCAGGGACGAAGCGCAAGUGACGGUACCUGCAGAAGAAGCACCGGCCAACUACGUGCCAGCAGCCGCGGUAAUACGUAGGGUGCGAGCGUUGUCCGGAAUUACUGGGCGUAAAGAGUCUCGUAGGUGGUUUGUCGCGUUGUUCGUGAAAACUCACAGCUUAACUGUGGGCGUGCGGGCGAUACGGGCAGACUGGAGUACUGCAGGGGAGACUGGAAUUCCUGGUGUAGCGGUGGAAUGCGCAGAUAUCAGGAGGAACACCGGUGGCGAAGGCGGGUCUCUGGGCAGUAACUGACGCUGAGGAGCGAAAGCGUGGGGAGCGAACAGGAUUAGAUACCCUGGUAGUCCACGCCGUAAACGGUGGGUACUAGGUGUGGGUUUCCUUCCUUGGGAUCCGUGCCGUAGC